rnacentral:rRNA from 1 species
ACUGCUCAGUAACACGUGGACAACCUGCCCUUAGGUUGGGUAUAAACCCGGGAAACUGGGUAUAAUACCCGAUAGGUCUCGACUGCUGGAAUGCAUCGAGAUUUAAAGCUCCGGCGCCUAAGGAUGGGUCUGCGGCCUAUCAGGUAGUAGUGGGUGUAGCGUACCUACUAGCCUACGACGGGUACGGGUUGUGAGAGCAAGAGCCCGGAGAUGGAUUCUGAGACACGAAUCCAGGCCCUACGGGGUGCAGCAGGCGCGAAAACUUUACAAUGCUGGCAACAGCGAUAAGGGAACCUCGAGUGCCAGGUUACAAAUCUGGCUGUCGAGAUGCCUAAAAAGCAUUUCAUAGCAAGGGCCGGGCAAGACCGGUGCCAGCCGCCGCGGUAACACCGGCGGCUCGAGUGGUAACCGUUAUUAUUGGGUCUAAAGGGUCUGUAGCCGGCCGGAUAAGUCUCUUGAGAAAUCUGGCAGCUUAACUGUCAGGCUUUCAGGAGAUACUGUCUGGCUCGAGGCCGGGAGAGGUGAGAGGUACUUCAGGGGUAGGGGUGAAAUCUUGUAAUCCUUGAAGGACCACCAGUGGCGAAGGCGUCUCACCAGAACGGACCUGACGGCAAGGGACGAAAGCUAGGGGCACGAACCGGAUUAGAUACCCGGGUAGUCCUAGCCGUAAACGAUACUCGCUAGGUGUCGGCCACGGUGCGACCGUUGUCGGUGCCGUAGGGAAGCCGUGAAGCGAGCCACCUGGGAAGUACGGCCGCAAGGCUGAAACUUAAAGGAAUUGGCGGGGGAGCACCACAACGGGUGGAGCUUGCGGUUUAAUUGGAUUCAACGCCGGAAAUCUUACCGGGACCGACAGCAAUAUGAAGGCCAGGCUGAAGACUUUGCCGGAUUAGCUGAGAGGUGGUGCAUGGCCGUCGUCAGUUCGUACUGUGAAGCAUCCUGUUAAGUCAGGCAACGAGCGAGACCCCCACC